UACAGAGGUCUCGAGCGUUGUUCGGAUUCAUUGGGCGUAAAGGGUGCGUAGGUGGCACUGUAAGUCGGGUGUGAAAUCCUGAGGCUUAACCUCGGAACUGCAUUCGAUACUGCGGUGCUUGAGGACUGGAGAGGAGACUGGAAUUCAUGGUGUAGCAGUGAAAUGCGUAGAGAUCAUGAGGAAGACCAGUGGCGAAGGCGGGUCUCUGGACAGUUCCUGACACUGAGGCACGAAGGCCAGGGGAGCAAACGGGG
rnacentral:rRNA from 1 species